AUGUUUUGUUACUGUCAAAGCUUGUAUGCAAUUAGCAAAAUGUUAUACGUUUGUACUACUAUUGUGUUACUAAAGGAGAAAAAUAAGUACUAUCAUAUUGCAUUUUCUUUGAAGGGGAGCCUUGGCGCAGUGGUAAAGCUGCUGCCUUGUGACCAUGGGGUCACGGGUUCAAGUCCUGGAAACAGCCUCUUGCAGAAAUGUAGGGAAAGGCUGCGUACAAUAGACCCAAAAUGGUCGGACCCUUCCCCAGACCCUGCGCAAGCGGGAGCUACAUGCACUGGGGCUGCCCUUUUUAUAUUGCAUUUUCUUUCCUUUUGA
rnacentral:rRNA from 1 species